AUGACUUUGAUCUGCAUCCUCAUCUGGACUCUCCUCCUCUGCUGCUGCUUCACAGAGUCCAGAGGACAGGUCACAGUGACUCAGCCUGCAGCAGUGAGAUCUGCUCUGGGAGCCUCCGUCACCUUAUCAUGUACCACCUGGUACCAACAGAAAGAUGGAGGAACUCCUAAACUGCUGAUUUACUAUGGUAGCACUCGAGUAUCGGGGACUUCAAGUCGUUUUACAGGCAGUGGAUCAAACUCUGACUUCACUCUGACCAUCAGUGGAGUCCAGACUGAAGACGCAGCAGUUUACUACUGUCAGAGUUAUCAUAGCAUCAAC